ACUGGUUAAAUGUCUGAGGACACUCCACCCUCCAGUGCACAUGCACCAUCCGCGGGGGAAAACGCAGUGCCACAGUGAUGGUGCUGACACAGAGCUGCACUUGUGCACUGCAGAUGUGGUG
rnacentral:ribozyme from 16 species